rnacentral:rRNA from 1 species
AUUGAACGCUGGCGGCAGGCUUAACACAUGCAAGUCGAGCGGGGGAAGGUAGCUUGCUACCGGACCUAGCGGCGGACGGGUGAGUAAUGCUUAGGAAUCUGCCUAUUAGUGGGGGACAACAUCUCGAAAGGGAUGCUAAUACCGCAUACGUCCUACGGGAGAAAGCAGGGGAUCUUCGGACCUUGCGCUAAUAGGUGAGCCUAAGUCGGAUUAGCUAGUUGGUGGGGUAAAGGCCUACCAAGGCGACGAUCUGUAGCGGGUCUGAGAGGAUGAUCCGCCACACUGGGACUGAGACACGGCCCAGACUCCUACGGGAGGCAGCAGUGGGGAAUAUUGGGCAAUGGGGGGAACCCUGAUCCAGCCAUGCCGCGUGUGUGAAGAAGGCCUUAUGGUUGUAAAGCACUUUAAGCGAGGAGGAGGCUACUCUAGUUAAUACCUAGGGAUAGUGGACGUUACUCGCAGAAUAAGCACCGGCUAACUCUGUGCCAGCCGCCGCUGUAA